rnacentral:rRNA from 1 species
UGGCGGCAGGCCUAACACAUGCAAGUCGAGCGGUAACAGAAAGAAAGCUUGCUUUCUUUGCUGACGAGCGGCGGACGGGUGAGUAAUGCCUGGGAAUAUGCCUUAGUGUGGGGGAUAACUAUUGGAAACGAUAGCUAAUACCGCAUAACGUCUUCGGACCAAAGAGGGGGACCUUCGGGCCUCUCGCGCUAAGAUUAGCCCAGGUGGGAUUAGCUAGUUGGUGAGGUAAAGGCUCACCAAGGCAACGAUCCCUAGCUGGUCUGAGAGGAUGAUCAGCCACACUGGAACUGAGACACGGUCCAGACUCCUACGGGAGGCAGCAGUGGGGAAUAUUGCACAAUGGGGGAAACCCUGAUGCAGCCAUGCCGCGUGUAUGAAGAAGGCCUUCGGGUUGUAAAGUACUUUCAGUCGUGAGGAAGGCAUUGUAGUUAAUAGCUGCAGUGCUUGACGUUAGCGACAGAAGAAGCACCGGCUAACUCCGUG